rnacentral:rRNA from 1 species
GCGAAAGCUAGGGGAGCGAACGGGAUUAGAUACCCGUAGUCCUAGCUGUAAACGAUGGAUGCUGGGUGUGGGGGGGUGUAAAUUCCCUCUGUGCCGAAGCAAACGCGUUAAGCAUCCCGCCUGGGGACUACGGCCGUAAGGCUAAAACUCAAACGAAUUGACGGGGGCCCGCACAAGCAGCGGAGCGUGUGGUUUAAUUCGAUGCUACACGAAGAACCUUACCUGGGUUUGACAUGCACGUGGUAGGGAACCGAAAGGGGACCGACCUUCGGGAGCGUGCACAGGUGCUGCAUGGCUGUCGUCAGCUCGUGCCGUGAGGUGUCGGGUUAAGUCCCGUAACGAGCGCAACCCUUGCCCUUAGUUACAAGUGUCUAAGGGGACUGCCCGGGACAACUGGGAGGAAGGUGGGGAUGACGUCAAGUCAGCAUGGCCUUUAUAUCCAGGGCUACACACACGCUACAAUGGCCGGUACAAUAGGUUGCGAAGUCGUGAGGCGGAGCCAAUCCUCAAAGCCGGUCUCAGUUCGAAUUGCAGUCUGCAACUCGACUGCAUGAAGCUGGAGUUGCUAGUAAUCGCAGGUCGGCUAUACUGCGGUGAAUACGUUCCCGGGCCUUGUACACACCGCCCGUCACGUCAUGGAAGCUGGCAACGCCUGAAGCCGGUGAGCUAACCCGAAAGGGAGGCAGCCGUCGAGGGUGGGGCUGGUAACUGGGACGAAGUCGUAACAAGGUAACCAAGGGCGAA